UACGUAGGGUGCGAGCGUUAAUCGGAAUUACUGGGCGUAAAGCGUGUGCAGGCGGUUUGUUAAGACAGGUGUGGAAUCCCCGGGCUUAACCUGGGAAUUGCGCUUGUUACUGGCAAGCUAGAGUGCGUCAGAGGGAGGUGGAAUUCCACGUGUAGCAGUGAAAUGCGUAGAGAUGUGGAGGAACACCGAUGGCGAAGGCAGCCUCCUGGGAUGACACUGACGCUCAUACACGAAAGCGUGGGGAGCAAACAGG
rnacentral:rRNA from 1 species